GACGAACGCUGGCGGCGUGCUUAACACAUGCAAGUCGAACGGAAAGGCCUUUUCGGAGGUACUCGAGUGGCGAACGGGUGAGUAACACGUGGGUGAUCUGCCCUGCACUCUGGGGUAAGCCUGGGAAACUGGGUCUAAUACCGGAUAGGACCGCACUUUAGUGUGUGUGGUGGAAAGUUUUUUCGGUGUAGGAUGAGCCCGCGGCCUAUCAGCUUGUUGGUGGGGUAAUGGCCUACCAAGGCGGCGACGGGUAGCCGGACUGAGAGGUUGGUCGGCCACAUUGGGACUGGGAUACGGCCCAGCCUCCUACGGGGGGCAGCAGUGGGGAAUAUUGCACAAUGGGCGCAAGCCUGAUGCAGCGACGCCGCGUGGGGGAUGACGGCCUUCGGGUUGUAAACUCCUUUCGCCAGGGACGAAGCGUUUUGUGACGGUACCUGGAGAAGAAGCACCGGCUAACUACGUG
rnacentral:rRNA from 1 species